rnacentral:rRNA from 1 species
AACCUUUAGCCAAGCAAAUAUUAAAGGCAACGCCUGCCCAGUGAACAAUUAAACGGCCGCGGUACCCUAACCGUGCAAAGGUAGCAUAAUCAUUUGUCUAUUAAUUGUAGACCAGUAUGAAAGGCAAAAUGAGGACCUCCCUGUCUCUUAUAAUAAAUCAAUUAAACUGAUCUCCUAGUAAAAAAGCUAGAAUUUAAACAUAAGACCAGAAGACCCUGUGAAGCUUAAACUAAACUAUUAAACCAUAUAAUAACUACUUUUGGUUGGGGCGACCUUGGAAAAAAAAAGAACUUCCAAAUAAAUGAUAAUAACUCAUACAUAACUCUAGGCCAACAAGCCUACUAAAAUGACCCAGUACAGCUGAUAAUUGAACCAAGUUACUCCAGGGAUAACAGCGCCAUCUUCUUCAAGAGCCCAUAUCAAAAAGAAGGUUUACGACCUCGAUGUUGGAUCAGGACAUCCUAAUGGUGCAACCGCUAUUAAGGGUUCGUUUGUUCAACGAUUAAUAGUCCU